GAUGAAGAACGCAGCGAAAUGGGAUAAGUAAUGUGAAUUGCAGAAUUCAGUGAAUCAUCGAAUCUUUGAACGCACCUUGCGCCUUUUGGUAUUCCGAAAGGCACACCUGUUUGAGCGUCAUGAAUACCUCAAUCUCCAUCUUUUCUUCGGAUUGAUGGGUGACUUGGAUGUUGAGCCCUGCUGGUAUGCUAUAUCAGCUGGCUUUAAACUUAUUAGCCGGCUCUGUACUGGAUCGGUUUGACUCGACGUGAUAAUAUUAUCGUUGAGGAUGCAUGUCUCAUGCAGCCGGAAAGUAUCAAAGCAGCUUCUAGCUUGCCUUUAGUGCACUUUUACAUUUUAGACCUCAGAUCAGGCGGGACUACCCGCUGAACUUAAGCAUAUCAAUAAGCGGAGGA
rnacentral:misc_RNA from 1 species